CAACCUUACGGUUCUGCAGCGCCAUACACCUCUCCUUACGGCGCACCACCACAACCUUCUGCUCCAUACGGCACCGCACCACAACCUACUGCUCCAUACGGCAGCGCACAACAUGCUGCUCCAUACGGCACCGCGCAAGCUUAUGGCUCCCCCUACGCAGCUGCCCCUCCCGGCACCAAGCCUCCAAAGGACAAACCCCAAGGUUCCACACCUGGCGGCUAUCCUCCUGCUCCCUACGGAAGCAGCCCCUUUGCUUCUCUC
rnacentral:lncRNA from 1 species